rnacentral:rRNA from 1 species
UACGGAGGGUGCGAGCGUUGUCCGGAAUCACUGGGCGUAAAGAGCUCGUAGGCGGUUUGUCGCGUCUGCUGUGAAAACCCGAGGCUCAACCUCGGGCCUGCAGUGGGUACGGGCAGACUAGAGUGGCGGUAGGGGAGAUUGGAAUUCCUGGUGUAGCGGUGGAAUGCGCAGAUAUCAGGAGGAACACCAAUGGCGAAGGCAGGUCUCUGGGCCACUACUGACGCUGAGAAGCGAAAGCAUGGGGAGCGAACAGG